rnacentral:tRNA from 1 species
GUAGAUGUAGCUCAGUUGGUUAGAGCAUCUGACUGUUAAUCAGAAUGUCGCAGGUUCGAGUCCUACCAUCUACG